rnacentral:rRNA from 1 species
AUUGAACGCUGGCGGCAGGCCUAACACAUGCAAGUCGAGCGGAUGAAGGGAGCUUGCUCCUGGAUUCAGCGGCGGACGGGUGAGUAAUGCCUAGGAAUCUGCCUGGUAGUGGGGGACAACGUUUCGAAAGGAACGCUAAUACCGCAUACGUCCUACGGGAGAAAGCAGGGGACCUUCGGGCCUUGCGCUAUCAGAUGAGCCGGGGUCGGAUUAGCUAGUUGGUGAGGUAAUGGCUCACCAGGGCAACGAUCCGUAACUAGGCUGAGAGGAUGAUCAGUAACACUGGAACUGAGACACGGUCCAGACUCCUACGGGAGGCAGCAGUGGGGAAUAUUGGACAAUGGGCGAAAGCCGGAUCCAGCCAUGCCGCGUGUGUGAAGAAGGUCUUCGGAUUGUAAAGCACUUUAAGUUGGGAGGAAGGGUUGUAGAUCAAUACGCUGCAAUUUUGACGUUACCGACAGAAUAAGCACCGGCUAACUCUGUGCCAGCAGCCGCAGUAACAC